rnacentral:rRNA from 1 species
AUACGAAGGGGGCUAGCGUUGUUCGGAAUUACUGGGCGUAAAGCGCACGUAGGCGGAUAUUUAAGUCAGGGGUGAAAUCCCAGAGCUCAACUCUGGAACUGCCUUUGAUACUGGGUAUCUUGAGUAUGGAAGAGGUAAGUGGAAUUCCGAGUGUAGAGGUGAAAUUCGUAGAUAUUCGGAGGAACGCCAGUGGCGAAGGCGGCUUACUGGUCCAUUACUGACGCUGAGGUGCGAAAGCGUGGGGAGCAAACAGGAUUAGAUACCCUUGUAGUCC